rnacentral:rRNA from 1 species
ACGGAAGGCAGCAGUGGGGAAUAUUGCACAAUGGGGGAAACCCUGGUGCAGCGACGCCGCGUGAGUGAAGAAGUUAUUCGUAAUGUAAAGCUCUAUCAGCAGGGAAGAAAAUGACGGUACCUGACUAAGAAGCCCCGGCUAACUACGUGCCAGCAGCCGCGGUAAUACGUAGGGGGCAAGCGUUAUCCGGAUUUACUGGGUGUAAAGGGAGCGUAGACGGCUUUGUAAGUCUGAUGUGAAAGGCAGGGGCUCAACUCCUGGACUGCAUUGGAAACUACAGAGCUUGAGUGCCGGAGAGGUAAGCGGAAUUCCUAGUGUAGCGGUGAAAUGCGUAGAUAUUAGGAGGAACACCAGUGGCGAAGGCGGCUUACUGGACGGUAACUGACGUUGAGGCUCGAAAGCGUGGGGAGCAAACAGGAUUAGAUACCCUGGUA